rnacentral:snoRNA from 1 species
GUUACGUGAUGAGCAACAAAGUGAAUUCUGCAAUACUGACAGCUUCCCUAAUUUAUGGUGAAGUUGUUUGUUGACUCCUUCUACACUUGACCUGAUU